UUUUUGUCUUUUUGUCUUUUUAGGGCUGCGCUGGCAGCAUACAGAGGUUCCCAGGCUAGGGGUACAAUCAGAGCUGUAGCCGCCAGCCUGUGCCACAGCCACAGCAAUGCGGGAUUCGAGCCUCACCUGCAACCUACACCACAGCUCUCCGCAAUGCCGUAUCCUUAACCCACUGAGUGAGGCCAGGGAUCGAACCUGCGUCCUCAUGGACGCUAGUCGGGUUUGCUAACUGCUGAACCACGAUGGGAACUCUGUCUCCUAUGGUGUAAGGCUCUGACCUCUGGGCAUCAAUCUCCUAGUGUCUAGAUUUAACUUCUUCUCGGGGUACCUGCUUGGGGAAUGUCAGUCCCAGCUCCCCAAACCCAGGGUAAGAAAUGUGCUUCUCUGCAUUCCUUUUACAUCCGAAGUGAUGAGUUAAUCUCUGCUGAUGUGUAAUAAUUCCAUCAGUGAGUUAAUAUAUUGUCAAAUCACGACACACAUGGGAAACAAAAGGAUUUUUCACACCCAGGUGCAUCACAAGGAAUGGCUGCACCAUUGAGGAUUUUGGCAGGUCAGCUGAGAAGGAGCUGUUUGAGGAGUUGGAGUCAUUUUUUUUGUGUUUCUUUCUCUCUCUCUCGUGCUCACCUGCUUUCUCCCCUCCUCACCCCCAAACUAGAGGCUCCUUCAGGAAGGAUCCGGUCCUGGCCAGAGAGAAGGAGGAUCUCUCACACCAGCCUGUUCUCAUGUUGUCAGUGGUUCUAAUAUCACGAAGGAGAGGGAAGACGUGAAAGCAUGAAACAAAAACAUUGAGAUUGGAGUUCCCACUGUAGCUCAAUGGGUAACAAACCCAGCUAGUAUCUAUGAGGGUGUGGGUUCAAUCCUGGCUUCAUUCAGUGGGGUAAGGAUCCGGCAUUGCUGUGAGCUGUGGUGUAGGUCGCAGACACAGCUCGGAUCCUGUGUGGCUGUGGCUGUGGCUGUGACAUAGGACGGCAGCUGCAGCUCCAAUUUGACCCCUAGCCUGGGAACCUCCAUACACCGUGGGUAUGGCUCUAAAAAGCAAACAAAAACAAAAAUAAAAACAAAGCAACAUUGAGAUAUAGUUGAUUUACAAUACGACAUUAGUUUCAGGUGUACAGCAUAGUGAUUCAAUAGUUUUAUAGAUGAUGCUCUAUGUAAAGUUAUUAUAAAAUAAUGGCUACAUUUUCCUGCACUGUACAAAAAUAGCCUCGUUUCUUCUUUAUUUGAUAUGUAGUAGUUUGUACCUCUUAAUCCUCUACCCCUAUCUUACCCCUUCCCUGUUUGCUCUCCCCACUAGGAACCACUAAUUUGUUCUCUAUAUCUGAGUCUGUUUCUUUUUUGUUAUAUUCGCUGGUUUGUUUUAUUAUUUUUUUUGGAUUCCACAGAUAAGUGAUACCAUGCUAUAUUUAUCUUUCUCUGAGUAUACUCUAAUGCUAUACUCAGUGAAAGAGUUCUCCAUGUGCUUUGGGUAAGUGCAAUCAUCGAAAGCAGAAUAAUCAUCUCAAGUCCAAUUAUCUUUUGUCGUCCACAGAACCUUCCUACUGAUUUCUCUCCUAACCUCACCAAAGGGUCAAGCUAACACCCCAGGCAACUCUCCGAACUUGGGAGGUCCUACGUGCCAGAAGUGGCAGAGCUCCCAGGGGAAAUAUGCUGAUCCCUGCUUUUCUUACCUCUGGGGAGUGUGAAGGAAGCCCCCCACUCCAUGGUGCUGAUGGAGGAAGGCAUGAAGGGCGGAGGGAAUGGCAGGCUCCUCUGCCUAAGCUGUUCUGUGCUAUUAGUGUUUCUCCCGCAUCCACUGUCAAGGUCUAUAUAUGCCAUGCUGGGGGUGUGUGUGUGUGUAUGCCAAGGGCAAAGCAGAAUCUUGGUCUUGUUGGGGCCUCCAGAUCCAUGCUGUUGGAUCACAUUUAUCCUGAAGACAAGAACUUUGGUUCCUCUUGGGCAUGGUGGCCUGGGAUGUCACCUGGCUGGAUUCCAUGGGAAGCUGAGGGAGGGCCCUCGGUGAAUCAUCACCCACAGUUGGGCUGACUCUAAGUAGGUCAUUUCUGGUUCUUUGGACGAAAGGAAUCCAACUGCCAGAGUGUUCCACCCUUCCAAAUUGAAAUUGAUGACACGGUCAGCCUGGCUUGGGCUCAGGUGCAACUUCUUUGGCCGUGAGCUAAGUGAAAAGCCUAGAGCUUUUGAACCAGAAAGAUGUUGAUUUUCAGUUAAGGAGACUGAAGCCUGGAGUGAUGGGGUGAUGGCUAAUCAAGGCUUGAGCCAGAGGUAGAAAGUCAAGUGCGCCGUCUCCCAAUCCUGGCCUUUCUCUGCAAGACGAUGGAAUCCCCAAGGGCCUCUCUGCCUCCUCUAAGUAAGAUUAACCCUCACCAGCAAUGUGGUGUCUUGAGACCUGGGGUGAGGGAGGUGAACUGUAUUUCAAGUAGAAAGCUACUCAUUUUCUUCAUCUUGGAUGUAGACAAGUUCAACAAUCAUAUCAUGAGCUACUGAUAGGAGAACAGUAUUAUAGGUCAAAACCCUUCUAGAAAAAAAAGAGAAUUCACUCCUUUAUAAAACAAGCACAAAGGCAGAUGCAGCAAAAGAAAAUCAGUCGGUAAAAGGGGGUGAUAAGUAGCCCCUAAUUAUCAUUACCAAGAAGCCAGUAUUAAUGAGGUUACACUACAAAUGGGAAUGUGAGACUCUGUGAAUGAGUGGCCUCUCUCUCUCUUUUUAUAACAACAACAAAAAAUCUCCAAGUAAGGCAGUUUGAGAAACCAAAAACCUAAUAAAGAGGUCAAUCAGAAGGUAGAAAAAUACACCAACUCGGAGGAUGAGUCCUCUUUUGGUGGCAUUUUGCUCAUCCUGGGACAACCCUUGCAUCCUUUUCAGAUGAAGUCAGAAAGGAGGUGUAAUUUGGCAUUUCCCAGCAUCUCUCCAGGGGCUUUUUAAGGGGAGGGGAUGGGUGGAGCCAGUCUUGAUUGUCUCUGCAGAGAUUUCAAUGCAAGGAAAUGGCACUGACCCCAAAUCAGCAGAUUGAAGUGAGGAUGGAUGCUCAUGAAGCUAAAUGGUUAUAGGAUUAGAGAUCUGAAAAAACUUUAGAAAAGACUGACUCUGAUUGCCUUGUUUUACAGAUAGGAACUCUGAGCAUGAGAGAGAGAGAGAGAAAGGGAGAGAGAGACAGAGACAGAGACAAUGAGAGAGAGACAGAGACAGAGACAAUGAGAGAGAGACAGAGACAGAGAGAAAGAGCCAGAGACAGAGAGACAGAGGACAGAGACAAAGAGAUAGAGAGACAGACAGAGAGACAGAGAGCCAGAGAGAGACUGGCCUUUCAUCUGCAUUGUGCAUUGAGCCGUCACAUCUACUACGAAAACACACUCUACCCAGAGGUACUCACUCCCUAAGAGAGGAUGGCAGGAAAGACACUAUAUUGGGAUGAUUAUUAGUUAUGAAAGGCUCAAGGAUGCUAACACAGAAACUCUGGGAUUAUUUGGGACUUCCUGGAAGAAGCUGUGCCCUCUCCCUUGAAGAAGUCUGCCCAUCCUGAAAGAAGUCAGGCUGCCUGUGGAUGACCCAGGGUGGCGACCCACACAACAUCCCGAGGAAGUGACUUGGUCAGGAGGCUCACGGAGAAAUCAGCGCUAACCAUGUCUAAGGCAGAUUCUUGGGUAGAGCACUUCAUAUGUGACAAUCCUUGGGAGAGUGAUUUAAAUCCUGGGAAUUCGGUUGCCCCCGCUAGAAAUUGAGGAGACUAGCACCUACCUCAUAGGGUUGUUACAAAGAUUAAAUGAUUGAAUGUGGGCAAAAUACUUAGACUAGUACUUGGCAAAUCAUAAUUGGCCAUUACGAUGUUGGCUGUUUUUCUUAGAGGACCUGUGAAUUCUUGCACACACACACACCCAAGCAAGCACACAGCCAUGGCUGCCGCGUGAAUUUGGAUGAGACUCUUUGAUGACAUCUAAAUAAGUGUUAAGCAUGGGAUCCAGUCUGUUUCACAUCAGAGCUCAACCAGCAAAAUCUGCUGAACGAUCUUUUCAUGCAAUGUCACCAGAGUUGUGAUAUGCAGUUCCCUGCCCCGGAAAGAGUAUACAUCAUAGAGGAUACAUACAUACGUACAUUGGAGGCACCCUGUCAGGUCAGAAUUCUGAGUCACUUUUUGCCUGCUCUGUGAAGACAUCCUCAUCAUUUCAACCGGAAGCUCUGAUACUCCCCACCUAAUUUCCUAUAAUAUUUAUCAUCUGUGCCAUCACUUUAUAGUGUUUAUUGUGUAAUAGUGUUUAUUUACUUUUAGCCUUUUUACUUUUAGCAUAUAUUUUCUUUGCCAGAUGAGACUUGAAACUCUGGGGACAAGAUCACUCACUUUUGUAUGUCCAAAGAGCAGAGUGAGCUGCUCUGCCAUAGAAUAUAUUCAAUAAAAUCCUUGAUUAUG
rnacentral:lncRNA from 1 species